rnacentral:rRNA from 1 species
ACACGACUACAUUAGAUACCCGGUAGUCCUAGCCGUAAACGAUACUCGCUAGGUGUCGGCCACGGUGCGACCGUUGUCGGUGCCGUAGGGAAGCCGUGAAGCAAGCCACCUGGGAAGUACGGCCGCAAGGCUGAAACUUAAAGGAAUUGGCGGGGAGCACCACAAGAGGUGGAGGCUGCGGUUCAAUUGGACUCAACGCCGGAAACUCAUCGGGAGCGACAGCAGUAUGAUUGCCAGGUUGAUGACCUUGCUUGACAAGCUG